rnacentral:rRNA from 1 species
UACGUAGGUGGCAAGCGUUGUCCGGAUUUACUGGGCGUAAAGAGCGCGCAGGCGGUCGUACAAGUCGCGUGUGAAAGCCCCCGGCUCAACUGGGGAGGGUCACGCGAUACUGUUCGACUCGAAGGCAGGAGAGGGAAGCAGAAUUCCCGGUGUAGUGGUGAAAUGCGUAGAUAUCGGGAGGAAUACCAGUGGCGAAGGCGGCUUCCUGGCCUGUUCUUGACGCUGAGACGCGAAAGCGUGGGGAGCAAACAGG